UGUUAUACAAACUAUUACUUAUAAUAUUAUUUCACUUCUGUAAAUGUAUGCAUGAAUUUCAUUAUAUCUAUAUAUUACCCAUUAAGAAUUGAAGAAUAUUUUGUUUAACUAUAAGAAAUUAGUAAAUAAAAUUGUAGUUGCUAAUUACUUUUGGCCACAUAUUUAAAUUUUCAAAAUUAGCCACACACAUAUAUAUAUAUAUAUAUAUAUAUAUAUAUAUAUGUCAUUAAUUGGUAAUUUUAUGUGGUGAUAUAUCCUAUCAGAACUAAAAUGAAAAUUUGGAACAACUAUUUAACAUAAAUGUUUUGGAAUAUAACGAAAAUAAAAAUAAUAAAAAAUUAUAAUUUCUAGUUUUUCGGAUCAUCAUAGUACAACGUUUUUUGUGGCAUAUAUACAUGUCCAUAUUUAAGGUUAUUGAAGAGAAAUUAAUAAAUGCUAAUUUGGUAGCUAAUCUAUUGCUAGUUGAUUUUAUCCACAUAUUUAAUCAUUCAACGUUGCGUAUAUAUGGUUGUCGCUAAAUGGUAUUUUAAGGUGAUGACAUAUCGUAACAAAAAUUAAAAUAAAUGUUUGGAAUAAAAUUAAAAAAAAAUAAAACAAACCAAUCAUUUUAAAACUGUUUUUCGGAUAAUCCUAAAAAUAGUUUUCAAAGAGUUAUAUAUAUGUAUAUGUUCACAUUUAAGGUUUUCUACAAUAAACACACAAAAUAUUUAUUUACAGUGAAGAGUUAUAAUGUCAGCAUCUAAAUUUGCUAUAUUUUGUAUUGUUCUGAUGUUUCUUGCUAGUUGUCAUGAAUGUGCCGACCUCAACAGAGGGCCCAAACCAACAUGCUCUAAAACACCAAAGAAUGUUUGGUGUUGCAGCAACAAUUCACACUGUCGGGAAACCAAAGCGCUAUGUGAGAAGAUUUGUUGGGUCCGCGGUUGAAUUUUUCUGAAGAGAACUUCUAUAAUUAUAUAUUCCAAAUAUUUUUGUACUUCCUUUAGUCUAAAUUCGAAUAAUAAAUAGUAA